rnacentral:rRNA from 1 species
AUGCCAAAGCCGAAGAAAGCCUGGUUUCAUGGUGCAGAUAGUUUUGAAACUCGUACUACACUUGAGGCAGACCGAGGAUUCCUUAACCUCUUGGACCAGACGCAAGACAAUCUCAGGAAUGCACGAAACAAUGCGCCAAACAUGACGACGAAAGUCUUGGGUGGGUUUGUUAGAACCUUCUACUUUGAUGAAGAAUCUAAUGCUGAUGUCAUUGACGGCGUAAUGCAAAUUGAGUAUGAUCUAGAACAGUUCAGAGUAUACCCUAUCACAGUAGUGGUCUUAGAGCAUAAGGACAACUCUAGUGAGAUUGGAGAUGCAAUUGUUGGGCAUACUCAAAAGCUUUCUGGCUAUGGUGGUGACUUAAUUGUGCGAGCAUAUUUCAGUGCGUUUGCCCAUAAAAUCCAGAAAUAUAUAGUGGCCUACGAGCCAUUCGCCCGGUCCUCAAUUUGGGGAAUACGCAACCCGGCAUUUUUUUCUGCUGAUGGCCUACAGCUGGACUUGACAGAAUAUUGGCGAAAAAGGAUGAGGUCAUUCAUAAAACUUCUCCAUUACGCGGCACAGCGCGAAAUCAGACAUGGUAGUCUCUCGAGCCCUAGCAGCUACGUGACUUGUCGUGGAGAUCAGAGGAUAAUUAAUAUGGGGCGAGUUUAUCAUGACAAAUACGAAGCCGGGAAAGACAUGGAGGAUCUUAUGCAUCUUAUAUCUAGACUAUUCCCUGACAGUUCGACUAAAUAUGAGUGGGUAUCCCUUAAGAAUCUUCUGAUUUCAAAGACCAUGAGUGACCCAGCAACAGUCCAGAAUUUCCUUCGUAUUGCCUUGGGGCACCCAAUUUUAUUGGACACCGUAUAA